AACGCGAAGAACCUUACCUGGGCUUGAACUACUGGAAGUAAGAUUCCGGAAACGGAAGAUGACCUGUCAAGUCAGGGACCAGCAGAGGUGCUGCAUGGCUGUCGUCAGCUCGUGUCGUGAGAUGUUGGGUUAAGUCCCGCAACGAGCGCAACCCUUAUCCCAUGUUGCUCAACGGUCGCAAGAUCGUCGCACUCUUGGGAAACUGCCUCGGAUAACGGGGAGGAAGGUGGGGAUGACGUCAAGUCCUCAUGGCCUUUAUGUCCAGGGCUACACACGUGCUACAAUGGCCGGUACAGCGGGAUGCAAAUCAGCAAUGAUGAGCCAAUCCCUCAAAGCCGGCCCCAGUUCAGAUUGUGGGCUGCAACUCGCCCACAUGAAGGCGGAAUCGCUAGUAAUCGCAGAUCAGCAGGCUGCGGUGAAUACGUUCCCGGGCCUUGUACACACCGCGUGUCU
rnacentral:rRNA from 1 species